rnacentral:sRNA from 1 species
AGCUGUUCCCCUCUGGAGGUUUUAACCUUCACACCUAUACGGGCCCUGGUUAUUCCAGCGGCCCUUUUUUUUUCCUGUU